rnacentral:rRNA from 1 species
UCAUCGAGUCUUUGAACGCACAUUGCGCCCAUUGGUAUUCCAUUGGGCAUGUCUGUUUGAGCGUCAUUACAACCCCUCAGCUCAUGCUGGUAUUGGGCAGGAACCGGUUGGAAACAACUGCUCCGGCCUUAAAGUUGUAGCUCUGCUGGCUGCUACGCCUGACCCAAAACAUAGUAAAUCUUGCUUGUUUAGUUAUGGAAUAGUAAAACCGGCCUGAACAAAAUCUUUAAAUUUCUAAGGUUUGACCUCAGAUCAGACAAGGAUACCCGCUGAACUUAAGCAUAUCAAUAAGCGGAGGAAAAGAAACCAACAGGGAUUGCAUUAGUAACGGCGAGUGAAGCGGCAAAAGCUCAAAUUUGAAAUCUGUUUUUUUUAAAAACCGAGUUGUAAUUUGAAGAGGAUAUUUCGGUUGCGGCUUGGGCCCAAGUUCCUUGGAACAGGACGUCAUGGAGGGUGAGAAUCCCGUACGUGGCUACCGGCUUGCUUCUAUGUGAAAUUCCUUCGAAGAGUCGAGUUGUUUGGGAAUGCAGCUCAAAAUGGGUGGUAAAUUUCAUCUAAAGCUAAAUAUUGGCGAGAGACCGAUAGCGCACAAGUAGAGUGAUCGAAAGAUGAAAAGCACUUUGAAAAGAGAGUUAAACAGUACGUGAAAUUGUUGAAAGGGAAGCGUUUGCAAUCAGACUCACCUUCAGUUGAUCAACGUUCCUUCUGGUUCGUGCACUCUGCUGUUUGUGGGCCAGCAUCAGUUGACGGCGGUAGGACAAAGGUUUCGGGAAUGUGGCUCUCUUCGGGGAGUGUUAUAGCCCGUUGCGUAAUGCUACCAGCU